GCCCAGUGAUGAUACCAAGGCGAAUGUGAGCUUACUGGAUGCGAGUCUGAGUUCUUCUGUGUUCCUAAUGGCUGGCAAUCUUGACAGGGCAGUGGAGAUUUGCUGCUCUGUUAUAAAGGCCAGCCUACAGUAACCGAGUCCCUCCACUCGUACUCUUCUCUAGAGUAAUGCUGGAGAGAGAGUGACGUGGCAGACAAUGUGUAUACUAGGCAUGUGUGUGAACUCUGAUAGAAUUUCAGCUCUGCUGUAUCCAGUAGCCUAUGAACUGCAUCUUUGGUAAUCUGAGGGUG